AUGGAAAGGCUCAUCCUGCACCACCUUCGGCCACUGGUGGGCUCAGUGAUGGACCCCUUGCAGUUCGCCUACCGUUCUGGAAUUGGGGUGGAUGACGCUGUCAUCUACCUGGUACACCGAUCCCUCUCUCACCUAGAGCAGGCGGGGAGCACUGUGAGGAUCAUGUUUUUUGACUUCUCCAGUGCUUUCAACACCAUCCAACCUGCACUACUGAGAGGGAAGCUGGAGGGAGCCGGAGUAGGCAAACAGCUGACUGCAUGGACCAUCGACUACCUUACCAACAGAUCACAGUAUGUGAGGCUCCAUGACUGUGUGUCCGAGGUGGUAAUAUGCAGCACGAGAGCACCACAGGGCACUGUUCUCUCACCUUUCCUGUUCAGCCUUUACACUUCAGACUUCUGUUAUAAUUCGGACGAUUGCCAUCUACAGAAGUUCUCAGAUGAUACAGCCAUCAUUGGAUGCGUAUCAGACGGGAAUGAUCAGGAGUACAGGGGGGUCAUCAGUGACUUUGUUGGCUGGUGUGAGACCAACGUACUCCAAAUCAACGCCGGCAAGAUAAAGGAGAUGAUCAUAGACUUCAGGAGGAAGUCACCCCCUACAACACCGGUGAGCAUCCAAGGGAAAGACAUUGAGAUAGUGGACUCUUAUAAGUACCUGGGUGUUCACCUCAACAAUAAACUGGACUGGACUACAAAUACAGACAUCCUGUAUAAGAAGGGCCAGAGUCGACUCCACCUGCUGAGGAGACUGAGGUCCUUCGGAGUCUGCAGGACUCUGUUAAGGACAUUCUAUGACACUGUGGUAGCAUCUGCCCUUUUCUAUGCAGUGGCCUGCUGGGGGAGUGGAUGCACGGACAGGGACAGGAGCAGGAUUGACAAACUGGUGCGGAGGUCUAGCUCCGUGCUGGGAGGUCCCCUGGAGUCCGUGGGGGUGGUUGGCGAGAGGAGGAUGUUAGUAAAGCUGACAUCCAUCAUGAACAACCCACAUCACCCACUGCAUGAGUAUGUGAGUGGGGUGAGCAGCUCCUUUAGUCAGAGACUGAAACACCCUCGGUGCAGGAAGGAGCGCUUUCGCAGAUCAUUCAUCCCAACAGCAGUUAGACUCUAUAACUCCUCAAUCACAAUGUCAUAA
rnacentral:lncRNA from 1 species